rnacentral:rRNA from 1 species
GACGAACGCUGGCGGCGUGCCUAAUACAUGCAAGUAGAACGCUGAAGGAGGAGCUUGCUUCUCCGGAUGAGUUGCGAACGGGUGAGUAACGCGUAGGUAACCUGCCUGGUAGCGGGGGAUAACUAUUGGAAACGAUAGCUAAUACCGCAUAACAGUAGAUAUUGCAUGAUAUCUGCUUGAAAGGUGCAAUUGCAUCACUACCAGAUGGACCUGCGUUGUAUUAGCUAGUUGGUGGGGUAACGGCUCACCAAGGCGACGAUACAUAGCCGACCUGAGAGGGUGAUCGGCCACACUGGGACUGAGACACGGCCCAGACUCCUACGGGAGGCAGCAGUAGGGAAUCUUCGGCAAUGGACGGAAGUCUGACCGAGCAACGCCGCGUGAGUGAAGAAGGUUUUCGGAUCGUAAAGCUCUGUUGUAAGAGAAGAACGAGUGUGAGAGUGGAAAGUUCACA